rnacentral:lncRNA from 1 species
UUUACUUGUGGACACUGAUAUGAUAAAGGCAUUUUUGUUUUUUGUUUUUUAGCCAGUUAGCCAAAAAGCCAACCCUGAAAUAAUAUCAUCCCUUGUUUGAAACCCCCUUGAGCCUAUUAUUAUUUUUUUGUUUAAAACUCAUUACAAGCCGAGAAGUGAAAAACAAUGUUAUCAUCCUAUUCAAAGGGUUGAAAGAGUCUUGUAUGGAGUUGUGUGGGGUUGAAUAAUUAUGUUUAUAAUACUUCAGAAGUUGAUAGAAAAAGAAAAGAAAAAUAGAAAAAAAAUGAAAAAAAUAGAAGGAUGUAUACAUGUCAAUACAUACUCCUUAUAAAAAAGAAAAAAAGAAGAAGAAAAAAGAGAAAGGAGAAAAAAAUAUGAACGAAAACAGUUAAUAUAGAGUUGUUAAAGUGAAUGAACUAUUUUAUAAAUUUAACUUCCGCAGUUUAUUUCAAGUCUCUUUUGUCUCUUUGAAUUUUAGCCUAGUACCCCUUAG